rnacentral:rRNA from 1 species
UAGCCGGCCUGAGAGGGCGACCGGCCACACUGGGACUGAGACACGGCCCAGACUCCUACGGGAGGCAGCAGUGGGGAAUAUUGGGCAAUGGANGAAACUCUGACCCAGCGACGCCGCGUGCGGGAUGAAGGCCUUCGGGUUGUAAACCGCUUUCAGCAGGGAAGAAGCGAAAGUGACGGUACCUGCAGAAGAAGCACCGGCUAACUAUGUGCCAGCAGCCGCGGUAAUACAUAGGGUGCAAGCGUUGUCCGGAAUUAUUGGGCGUAAAGAGCUCGUAGGUGGUUCGUCACGUCGGAUGUGAAACUCUGGGGCUYAACCCCAGACCUGCAUUCGAUACGGGCGA